GACGAACGCUGGCGGCGUGCUUAACACAUGCAAGUCGAACGGAAAGGCCCUGCUUUUGUGGGGUGCUCGAGUGGCGAACGGGUGAGUAACACGUGAGUAACCUGCCCUUGACUUUGGGAUAACUUCAGGAAACUGGGGCUAAUACCGGAUAGGAGCUCCUGCUGCAUGGUGGGGGUUGGAAAGUUUCGGCGGUUGGGGAUGGACUCGCGGCUUAUCAGCUUGUUGGUGGGGUAGUGGCUUACCAAGGCUUUGACGGGUAGCCGGCCUGAGAGGGUGACCGGCCACAUUGGGACUGAGAUACGGCCCAGACUCCUACGGGAGGCAGCAGUGGGGAAUAUUGCCCAAUGGGCGGAAGCCUGAUGCAGCAACGCCGCGUGCGGGAUGACGGCCUUCGGGUUGUAAACCGCUUUCGCCUGUGACGAAGCGUGAGUGACGGUAAUGGGUAAAGAGGCACGGGCUAACUACGUG
rnacentral:rRNA from 1 species